UCUUGGUCAUUUAGAGGAAGUAAAAGUCGUAACAAGGUUUCCGUAGGUGAACCUGCGGAAGGAUCAUUACCGAGUUCUCGGGCUUCGGCUCGACUCUCCCACCCUUUGUGAACGUACCUCUGUUGCUUUGGCGGCUCCGGCCGCCAAAGGACCUUCAAACUCCAGUCAGUAAACGCAGACGUCUGAUAAACAAGUUAAUAAACUAAAACUUUCAACAACGGAUCUCUUGGUUCUGGCAUCGAUGAAGAACGCAGCGAAAUGCGAUAAGUAAUGUGAAUUGCAGAAUUCAGUGAAUCAUCGAAUCUUUGAACGCACAUUGCGCCCCUUGGUAUUCCGGGGGGCAUGCCUGUUCGAGCGUCAUUACAACCCUCAAGCUCUGCUUGGAAUUGGGCACCGUCCUCACUGCGGACGCGCCUCAAAGACCUCGGCGGUGGCUGUUCAGCCCUCAAGCGUAGUAGAAUACACCUCGCUUUGCAGUGGUUGGCGUCGCCCGCCGGACGAACCUUCUGAACUUUUCUCAAGGUUGACCUCGGAUCAGGUAGGGAUACCCGCUGAACUUAAGCAUAUCAAUAAGCGGAGGAA
rnacentral:rRNA from 1 species